rnacentral:rRNA from 1 species
GUGGGGAAUAUUGGACAAUGGGCGCAAGCCUGAUCCAGCCAUGCCGCGUGAGUGAUGAAGGCCUUAGGGUUGUAAAGCUCUUUCACCCACGACGAUAAUGACGGUAGUGGGAGAAGAAGCCCCGGCUAACUUCGUGCCAGCAGCCGCGGUAAUACGAAGGGGGCUAGCGUUGUUCGGAAUCACUGGGCGUAAAGCGCGCGUAGGCGGACCGUUAAGUCGGAGGUGAAAGCCUGGAGCUCAACUCCAGAACUGCCUUCGAUACUGGCGGUCUCGAGUCCGGGAGAGGUGAGUGGAACUGCUAGUGUAGAGGUGAAAUUCGUGGAUAUUAGCAAGAACACCAGUGGCGAAGGCGGCUCACUGGCCCGGUACUGACGCUGAGGUGCGAAAGCGUGGGGAGCAAACAGGAUUAGAAACCCGAGUAGUCC